AAUGGGCGCAAGCCUGAUCCAGCAAUGCCGCGUGUGUGAAGAAGGCCUGCGGGUUGUAAAGCCCUUUCAGUGGGGAAGAACGGAUGCGGGCCAAUACCCCGGAUCACUGACGUUACCCACAGAAGAAGCACCGGCUAACUCCGUGCCAGCAGCCGCGGUAAUACGGAGGGUGCAAGCGUUAUCCGGAUUUACUGGGUUUAAAGGGUCCGUAGGUGGUUGGAUAAGUCAGUGGUGAAAUUACCGAGCUUAACUUGGGAGGGGCCAUUGAUACUGUUAGACUUGAGUGCAGAUGAGGUUGGCGGAAUGGGGCAUGUAGCGGUGAAAUGCUUAGACAUGCCUCGGAACACCGAAUGCGAAGGCAGCUGGCUAAACUGCAACUGACACUAAGGGACGAAAGCGUGGGUAGCGAA
rnacentral:rRNA from 1 species